rnacentral:rRNA from 1 species
CCCUUAGAUGUCCUGGGCUGCACGCGCGCUACACUGAUGUGUCCAGUAAGCACCUAACCUCUUCCGAAAGGAACGGGUAACCUUUGCAAAGCACAUCGUGAUGGGGAUAGAUUAUUGCAAUUAUUAGUCUUGAACGAGGAAUUCCUAGUAAGCACAAGUCAUCAGCUUGUGUUGAUUACGUCCCUGCCCUUUGUACACACCGCCCGUCGCUACUACUGAUUGGAUGUUUAAGCGAGGUUCUCGAACUGCUAGCGACUUAGCUUCGGUGAGGUCGCAGUGUGGGAAGUGAACCUAGCUUUGGUGUCUAGAGGAAGUAAAAGUCGUAACA